rnacentral:rRNA from 1 species
UUAAUCCUCGGGGCGCAGCAGUGGGGAAUAUUGGGCAAUGGGCGCAAGCCUGACCCAGCAACGCCGCGUGAAGGAAGAAGGCUUUCGGGUUGUAAACUUCUUUUAAGAGGGAAGAGCAGAAGACGGUGCCUCUUGAAUAAGCCACGGCUAACUACGUGCCAGCAGCCGCGGUAAUACGUAGGUGGCGAGCGUUAUCCGGAAUGAUUGGGCGUAAAGGGUGCGUAGGCGGCCUGCUAAGUCUGGAGUGAAAGGUACCGGCUCAACCGGUACAGGCUCUGGAAACUGGCGGGCUAGAGAGCAGGAGG